CAAUAGCGUAUAUUAAAGUUGUUGCAGUUAAAAAGCUCGUAGUUGGAUUUCUGGUGGGAGCGAUCGGUCUGGCGCUUAGCGCGAGUACUUGCAUCGUCUCCGGCCAUCCUUGGGGAGAGUCUGUCUGGCAUUAAGUUGUCGGGCAGAGGAUCCUCAUCGUUUACUGUGAAAAAAUUAGAGUGUUCAAAGCAGGCUUAUGCCGUUGAAUAUAUUAGCAUGGAAUAAUAAGAUAGGACUUUGGUACUAUUUUGUUGGUUUGCGCACCAAAGUAAUGAUUAAUAGGGACAGUUGGGGGUAUUCGUAUUCCGUUGUCAGAGGUGAAAUUCUUGGAUUUACGGAAGACGAACUACUGCGAAAGCAUUUACCAAGGAUGUUUNCAUUA
rnacentral:rRNA from 1 species